CAUUUGGUGUCUGUUCGUUGGAAACGGACUUAAAAGGGAAUCAGGUGUGAAUCCUGAACAGUCCCGCUGCUGUAAACUCGGAAUGAAUGGCUAAACAUCAAGAAAUGCCACUGUCGAUAAUGGAUGGGAAGGUGGUUUGGUCAGGGAGUGAGUCAGAAGACCUGCCAGAUGACAAU
rnacentral:ncRNA from 1 species